rnacentral:rRNA from 1 species
GGGUGAGUAACACGUGGGUAACCUGCCCCUUAGACUGGGAUAACAUUCGGAAACGGAUGCUAAUACCGGAUACACAACUUGGUCGCAUGGCCGAGUUGGGAAAGACGGAGCAAUCUGUCACUAAGGGAUGGACCUGCGGCGCAUUAGCUAGUUGGUGAGGUAACGGCUCACCAAGGCGACGAUGCGUAGCCGACCUGAGAGGGUGAUCGGCCACACUGGGACUGAGACACGGCCCAGACUCCUACGGGAGGCAGCAGUAGGGAAUCUUCCGCAAUGGACGAAAGUCUGACGGAGCAACGCCGCGUGAGUGAUGAAGGUUUUCGGAUCGUAAAGCUCUGUUGCCAGGGAAGAAUGCUUGGGAGAGUAACUGCUCUCAAGGUGACGGUACCUGAGAAGAAAGCCCCGGCUAACUACGUGCCAGCAGCCGCGGUAAUACGUAGGGGGCAAGCGUUGUCCGGAAUUAUUGGGCGUAAAGCGCGCGCAGGCGGCCUUGUAAGUCUGUUGUUUAAACUCGGAGCUCAACUCCGAGUCGCAAUGGAAACUGCAAAGCUUGAGUGCAG